GGCCUACGGGAGGCAGCAGUGGGGAAUUUUGCGCAAUGCUCGUAAGAGUGACGCAGCGACGCCGCGUGAAUGACGAAGGCCUUCGGGUCGUAAAGUUCUUUCGACAGGGAAGAAAAUGCCUAUAAGUAACUGUGUAUGUAUUGACGGUACCUGUAUGAGCAGCCCCGGCUAACUCCGUGCCAGCGGCCGCGGUAAUACGGAGGGGGCGAGCGUUGUUCGGAGUGACUGGGCGUAAAGAGCAGGUAGGCGGUGUUGUAAGUCAUUAGUCAAAGACUAGAGUUACACUUUAGUAAGGCUAGUGAUAG
rnacentral:rRNA from 1 species